rnacentral:rRNA from 1 species
CCAAUAGCGUAUAUUAAAGUUGUUGCAGUUAAAAAGCUCGUAGUUGAAUUUCGGGAUUUGUCAGUUGGUCGGGCUUAACUGUCCGUAUUGACUUGAUGGAUUCUUACCUUCUGAAUAACCAGCAUGCUAUUAAGUUAGUGCGUUGGGGAAGCAGAUCUAUUACCUUGAAAAAAUUAGAGUGCUUAAAGCGAGCUAGUGCUUGAAUAGAUUAGCAUGGAAUAAUAAAAUAGGACGGCAUGGUUCUAUUUUGUUGGUUUCUAGGAUCACCGUAAUGAUUAAUAGGGAUAGUUGGGGGCAUUAGUAUUCAAUUGUCAGAGGUGAAAUUCUUGGAUUUAUUGAAGAAUAACUUCUGCGAAAGCAUUUGCCAAGGAUGUUUUCAUUAAUCAAGAACGAAAGUUAGGGGAUCGAAGACGAUCAGAUACCGUCGUAGUCUUAACCAUAAACUAUGCCGACUAGGAAUCGGACGAUGUUAAUUUUAUAAUGACUCGUUCGGCACCUUACG